rnacentral:miRNA from 1 species
UCUCAACGAAACUUCAAUCGU